AUUGUUUCUCAGCCUUUUGGCGAAGAGCAGGUGUAGUAUCUCUUCUUAUCAGUUGAAUAUCUGACAUACCCUCUAACCAGAAGAAAACAGAGAAAGGAAAAGGAAAUCAAUUAUUGUAAUUCACCACGU
ensembl:snRNA U2 U2 spliceosomal RNA